rnacentral:rRNA from 1 species
ACUCUCGGCAACGGAUAUCUCGGCUCUCGCAUCGAUGAAGAACGUAGCGAAAUGCGAUACCUGGUGUGAAUUGCAGAAUCCCGCGAACCAUCGAGUCUUUGAACGCAAGUUGCGCCCGAGGCCACUCGGCCGAGGGCACGCCUGCCUGGGCGUCACGCCAAAACACGCUCCCAACCACCCUCUUCGGGAAUUGGGAUGCGGCAUAUGGUCCCUCGUCCUGCAAGGGGCGGUGGGCCGAAGAUCGGGCUGCCGGCGUACCGCGUCGGACACAGCGCAUGGUGGGCGUCCUUGCUUUAUCAAUGCAGUGCAUCCGACGCGUAGACGGCAUCAUGGCCUCGAAACGACCCAUCGAACGAAGUGCACGUCGCUUCGACCGCGACCCCAGGUCAGGCGGGACUACCCGCUGAGUUUAAGCAUAUAAAUAAGCGGAGGAGAAGAAACUUACAAGGAUUCCCCUAGUAACGGCGAGCGAACCGGGAACAGCCCAGCUUGAGAAUCGGGCGGCUGUGCCGUCCGAAUUGUAGUCUGGAGACGCGUCCUCAGCGACGGACCGGGCCCAAGUCCCCUGGAAAGGGGCGCCUGGGAGGGUGAGAGCCCCGUCCGGCCCGGACCCUGUCGCCCCACGAGGCGCGGUCAACGAGUCGGGUUGUUUGGGAAUGCAGCCCAAAUCGGGCGGUAGACUCCGUCCAAGGCUAAAUACAGGCGAGAGACCGAUAGCGAACAAGUACCGCGAGGGAAAGAUGAAAAGGACUUUGAAAAGAGAGUCAAAGAGUGCUUGAAAUUGCCGGGAGGGAAGCGGAUGGGGGCCGGCGAUGCGCCCCGGCCGUAUGCGGAACGGCUCUUGCUGGUCCGCCGCUCGGCUCGGGGUGUGGACUGUUGUCGGCCGCGUCGGCGGCCAAAGCCCGGGGGCCCUAGGUGCCUCCGGUUGCCGUCGUCGACAUGGCCGGUACCCGCGCGCCGAAAGGCGUGUCCCUCGGGGCACUGCGCUGCAACGGCCUGCGGGCUCCCCAUCCGACCCGUCUUGAAACACGGACCAAGGAGUCUGACAUGCGUGCGAGUCGACGGGUUUUGAAACCUGGGAUGCGCAAGGAAGCUGACGAGCGGGAGGCCCUCACGGGCCGCACCGCUGGCCGACCCUGAUCUUCUGUGAAGGGUUCGAGUUGGAGCACGCCUGUCGGGACCCGAAAGAUGGUGAACUAUGCCUGAGCGGGGCGAAGCCAGAGGAAACUCUGGUGGAGGCUCGAAGCGAUACUGACGUGCAAAUCGUUCGUCUGACUUGGGUAUAGGGGCGAAAGACUAAUCGAACCAUCUAGUAGCUGGUUCCCUCCGAAGUUUCCCUCAGGAUAGCUGGAGCCCAUUACGAGUUCUAUCAGGUAAAGCCAAUGAUUAGAGGCAUUGGGGACGCAACGUCCUCGACCUAUUCUCAAACUUUAAAUAGGUAGGAUGGCUCGGCUGCUUCGGUGAGCCGUGCCACGGAAUCGGGUGCUCCAAGUGGGCCAUUUUUGGUAAGCAGAACUGGCGAUGCGGGAUGAACCGGAAGCCGGGUUACGGUGCCCAACUGCGCGCUAACCUAGAACCCACAAAGGGUGUUGGUCGAUUAAGACAGCAGGACGGUGGUCAUGGAAGUCGAAAUCCGCUAAGGAGUGUGUAACAACUCACCUGCCGAAUCAACUAGCCCCGAAAAUGGAUGGCGCUGAAGCGCGCGACCCACACCCGGCCAUCUGGGCGAGCGCCAUGCCCCGAUGAGUAGGAGGGCGCGGCGGCCGCUGCAAAACCCGGGGCGCGAGCCCCGGGGCGGGCCCCGGGGGGGCGGGGCCAAUUCCUCGACCGCCUCCACUCCUAGGAGCGGGGGCUCGUGGUAAAAGAACCCACGGCGCCGAAGGCGUCAAGGAACACUGUGCCUAACCCGGGGAGAUGGCUAGCUUGCUGGUCGUCACCUGUGUUGCAAAUAUAUUUAAUCCACACGACUCUCGGCAACGGAUAUCUCGGCUCUCGCAUCGAUGAAGAACGUAGCGAAAUGCGAUACCUGGUGUGAAUUGCAGAAUCCCGCGAACCAUCGAGUCUUUGAACGCAAGUUGCGCCCGAGGCCACUCGGCCGAGGGCACGCCUGCCUGGGCGUCACGCCAAAACACGCUCCCAACCACCCUCUUCGGGAAUUGGGAUGCGGCAUAUGGUCCCUCGUCCUGCAAGGGGCGGUGGGCCGAAGAUCGGGCUGCCGGCGUACCGCGUCGGACACAGCGCAUGGUGGGCGUCCUUGCUUUAU